AUGACCUCUUACCUCAGAACCCCCAAUUUGUCCUGUCCAAACAAAUUCGGUUGAUAGAGUGCAAAGAAAAUGGCACUGGCCAAAAGAACCAACCAAGGCAAUCUGGAUCCAAUGUUAGUUGUGUCCAGGCAAGGGUUGUUCCAUGAAGGCCAAAGAAAAGAGGGCCCGCUGCUGCUGGUGAUUGUUCUGAUACACGGAUCCAUCCUGAACAAGACCAUUCUUGGUCUUGUUUAUCUCUCUCCAUAAAGCCUGGGGCUCAGGUGUUUUUGACUAGGUAAACGGUUUCAUUGUUCAUUAUAGAAACCUCCUAGAAGAUCCAUCGACUCUCCAAUGGAAAGCAUCACGAGAUAGUCUGUGCCCUAAGAACCUUUGAAUCCCUGCCUCAAAAUCCUCGCCUUGUUGUUCCUGCCAGUCCUGGACCGAUGUGCAGCAAUCCUUCCCCACUCCUGAUUCAGCCCCUUCCAUGCCAACACUUGCCUUCAACCAAACUUCUCAAUAAACUCGGACCUUGCCUUCCUCUAGGACACUGCCACAGCUCUGCCGAGGCCGUGUCCUCCCUGUUCGCCACGAGCAAUAAACUCAGCUUUCUCUUUUCCGCAGAUUUUUGUGGGACGAAAGCAUUUGGCAAGGUAAUUAAUUAAUCCGUUUUUCCCAUUAUGUGUUAGGUUUCGGGAUCUUACUUAAGAUCCCAAUCUGAAGCACAGUCAUAUUUUGAAUAUUGUCUUUUAGACAAUGCACCGAGAUCUUUCUCAUAUGUAAUCUUCAACUGGCUUUAUAGUUUCGACAUUCACAGACACCAUGCAACAAAGAAAUCUGCCCCUUUGGAGGGAGAGGCUGGAUAUUGCUAAAGUUGACCUCACUCACUUCAAGUUGUGCCAAUACUCUAGCC